rnacentral:antisense_RNA from 1 species
ACUGGGGGAGGAAGGGAGGUGACAGAGUGGAGGAGGUGAAUGGGGAGGAAACCAACACUCCAAGACUGUCUGGAGAGGAGAAAAAGGUCUCUGAGAACUUCCUAGAGCCUUGUGAGGUCAGAACGAUUGUUAUCCCAGUAUACAGAGAAGAAGGAGGCUCAGAGAGGUUCAGCAGGAAGCAGAGUAUGAAUAAAGAGCAGAACGAUUCUGCCAGAGCUCCUCUCCCUCUGAGCUGGACAGUGAGGACUCCAGGAGCCGAGAGCCUUGUGGAAGUGAGAAGGGGUAGUCUUGCUGAGCCAUGGACAUUUGAGCUCUAGGGCAGCCCCUACCCUCAGCCUGGGGAUACCCAACAAGCGCUUCCAAGCCCUGAGACUCCAUGACUCACUGGGAGUGCGGAGUUGAGUCUUAUUCUGUUGCCCAGGCUGGAGUGAAGUGGUGCGAUCUCGGCCCAUGGCAACCUUCGCCUCCCGAGUUCGAGCGAUUCUUGUGCCUCAGCCCUCGGAGUAGCUGGGACAAAAAUCUUUAACUGUGAUUAAAAACACAUAC